rnacentral:rRNA from 1 species
AGAACGAACGCUGGCGGCAUGCCUAACACAUGCAAGUCGAACGCUUCCGGGGCUUCGGUCGCGGAGGAGUGGCGCACGGGUGAGUAGCGCGUGGGAACCUGCCCUGUUGUGGGGGAUAACCGAGGGAAACUUCGGCUAAUACCGCAUACGCCCCGGGACUUGGUCUUCGGAUUAGGUCUGGGGGGAAAGAUUGAUCGCAGCAGGAGGGGCCCGCGUCGGAUUAGCUGGUUGGUGGGGUAACGGCUCACCAAGGCGAUGAUCCGUAGCUGGUCUGAGAGGAUGAUCAGCCACACUGGGACUGAGACACGGCCCAGACUCCUACGGGAGGCAGCAGUGGGGAAUAUUGGACAAUGGGGGCAACCCUGAUCCAGCAAUGCCGCGUGAGUGAUGAAGGCCUUAGGGUUGUAAAGCUCUUUCGCCCGCGACGAUGAUGACGGUAGCGGGAGAAGAGCCCGGCUAACUUCGCGCCAGCAGCCGCGGU